CUACGGGGCGCACCAGUGGGGAAUAUUGCACAAUGGACGAAAGUCUGAUGCAGCAACGCCGCGUGGAGGAUGACACAUUUCGGUGCGUAAACUCCUUCUAUAUAGGAAGAUAAUGACGGUACUAUAUGAAUAAGCACCGGCUAACUCCGUGCCAGCAGCCGCGGUAAUACGGAGGGUGCAAGCGUUACUCGGAAUCACUGGGCGUAAAGAGCGUGUAGGCGGGUUAAUAAGUUGGAAGUGAAAUCCUAUGGCUCAACCAUAGAACUGCUUCCAAAACUGUUAACCUAGAAUAUGGGAGAGGUAGAUGGAAUUUCUGGUGUAGGGGUAAAAUCCGUAGAGAUCAGAAGGAAUACCGAUUGCGAAGGCGAUCUACUGGAACAUUAUUGACGCUGGGACGCGAAAGCGUGGGGAGCAAACAGGAUUAGAUACCCCAGUAGUC
rnacentral:rRNA from 1 species